UACGAAGGGGGCAAGCGUUGUUCGGAAUUACUGGGCGUAAAGGACUCGUAGGCGGCCAACUAAGUCGGAUGUGAAAUCCCCAGGCUUAACCUGGGAACUGCAUCCGAUACUGGAUGGCUUGAAUCCGGGAGAGGGAUGCAGAAUUCCAGGUGUAGCGGUGAAAUGCGUAGAUAUCUGGAGGAAUACCGGUGGCGAAGGCGGCAUCCUGGACCGGCAUUGACGCUGAGGCACGAAGGUCAGGGGAGCAAACGGG
rnacentral:rRNA from 1 species